rnacentral:misc_RNA from 1 species
GAAAACUCGAGCCUGACCCCUGCCUUGAACUGUAGAACCCUGAAGUUGACUUCUGCCUCCAGAUCUACCUCCAAAUCUAUGUCCUCCUUAUCCACAGCCCUGUUGGCUACUAUACUGACUACUCGCCAUACCGGAUGUGCCACGAUGCAUCUGAUGGGGCAUAUUACAAACAGAACCUUGUGAGCCCAUCAAGUGCUCGCUGAACAU